UACGGAGGGUGCAAGCGUUAUCCGGAUUCACUGGGUUUAAAGGGUGCGUAGGUGGGCAGUUAAGUCAGUGGUGAAAAUCUCCGGGCUCAACCCGGAAACUGCCAUUGAUACUAUCUGUCUUGAAUAUCGUUGAGGUAAGCGGAAUAUGUCAUGUAGCGGUGAAAAUGCUUAGAUAUGACAUAGAACACCAAAUUGCGAAGGCAGCUUGCUAACGAAUAAUUGACACUGAGGGCACGAAAAGCGUGGGGGGAGUCAAAACA
rnacentral:rRNA from 1 species